GACGAACGCUGGCGGCGUGCUUAACACAUGCAAGUCGAGCGGAAAGGCGCUGCGUUUGUGGGGUGCUCGAGUGGCGAGCGGGUGAGUAACACGUGAGUAACCUGCCCUUGACUGUGGGAUAACUUCAGGAAACUGGGGCUAAUACCGGAUAGGAGCUCCUGCUGCAUGGUGGGGGUUGGAAAGUGUCGGCGGUUGGGGAUGGACUCGCGGCUUAUCAGCUUGUUGGUGGGGUAGUGGCUUACCAAGGCUUUGACGGGUAGCCGGCCUGAGAGGGUGACCGGCCACAUUGGGACUGAGAGACGGCGCAGACUCCUACGUGACGCAGCAGUGGGGAAUAUUGCACAAUGGGCGGAAGCCUGAUGCAGCAACGCCGCGUGCGGGAUGACGGCCUUCGGGUUGUAAACCGCUUUCGCCUGUGACGAAGCGUGAGUGACGGUAAUGGGUAAAGAAGCACCGGCUAACUACGUG
rnacentral:rRNA from 1 species